ACGAUGAACCGGUUUCGGCCGGGGAUUAGUGGCGAACGGGUGAGUAACACGUGGGCAAUCUGCCCUGCACUCUGGGACAAGCCCUGGAAACGGGGUCUAAUACCGGAUAUGACUGCCGACCGCAUGGUCUGGUGGUGGAAAGCUCCGGCGGUGCAGGAUGAGCCCGCGGCCUAUCAGCUUGUUGGUGGGGUGAUGGCCUACCAAGGCGACGACGGGUAGCCGGCCUGAGAGGGCGACCGGCCACACUGGGACUGAGACACGGCCCAGACUCCUACGGGAGGCAGCAGUGGGGAAUAUUGCACAAUGGGCGAAAGCCUGAUGCAGCGACGCCGCGUGAGGGAUGACGGCCUUCGGGUUGUAAACCUCUUUCAGCAGGGAAGAAGCGAAAGUGACGGUACCUGCAGAAGAAGCGCCGGCUAACUACGUGCCAGCAGCCGCGGUAAUACGUAGGGCGCGAGCGUUGUCCGGAAUUAUUGGGCGUAAAGAGCUCGUAGGCGGCUUGUCACGUCGGAUGUGAAAGCCCGGGGCUUAACCCCGGGUCUGCAUUCGAUACGGGCAGGCUAGAGUUCGGUAGGGGAGAUCGGAAUUCCUGGUGUAGCGGUGAAAUGCGCAGAUAUCAGGAGGAACACCGGUGGCGAAGGCGGAUCUCUGGGCCGAUACUGACGCUGAGGAGCGAAAGCGUGGGGAGCGAACAGGAUUAGAUACCCUGGUAGUCCACGCCGUAAACGUUGGGAACUAGGUGUGGGCGACAUUCCACGUUGUCCGUGCCGCAGCUAACGCAUUAAGUUCCCCGCCUGGGGAGUACGGCCGCAAGGCUAAAACUCAAAGGAAUUGACGGGGGCCCGCACAAGCGGCGGAGCAUGUGGCUUAAUUCGACGCAACGCGAAGAACCUUACCAAGGCUUGACAUACACCGGAAACAUCCAGAGAUGGGUGCCCCCUUGUGGUCGGUGUACAGGUGGUGCAUGGCUGUCGUCAGCUCGUGUCGUGAAAUGUUGGGUUAAGUCCCGCAACGAGCGCAACCCUUGUUCUGUGUUGCCAGCAUGCCCUUCGGGGUGAUGGGGACUCACAGGAGACUGCCGGGGUCAACUCGGAGGAAGGUGGGGACGACGUCAAGUCAUCAUGCCCCUUAUGUCUUGGGCUGCACACGUGCUACAAUGGCCGGUACAAUGAGCUGCGAAGCCGUGAGGUG
rnacentral:rRNA from 1 species